rnacentral:rRNA from 1 species
UACGAAGGGGGCUAGCGUUGUUCGGAAUUACUGGGCGUAAAGCGUGCGCAGGCGGCCUUCCAAGUCAGGGGUGAAAGCCCAGGGCUCAACCCUGAAUUGCCUUCGAUACUGAGAGUCUUGAGUUCGGAAGAGGUUGGUGGAACUGCGAGUGUAGAGGUGAAAUUCGUAGAUAUUCGCAAGAACACCAGUGGCGAAGGCGGCCAACUGGUCCGAUACUGACGCUGAGGCGGCGAAAAGCGUGGGGAGCCAAACAGG